rnacentral:rRNA from 1 species
GAUGAACGCUAGCGGAAGGCAUAAUACAUGCGAGUCGAACGGAUGUAGCAAUACAUUAGUGGCGCACGGGUGCGUAACGCGUAUGCAACCUACCUUCAUCAGGGGGAUAACUACCCGAAAGGGUGGCUAACACCGCAUAAUACUACUGAAUGGCAUCAUUUGGUAUUUAAAUCUGAGGAGGAUGAAGAUGGGCAUGCGUCAGAUUAGCUAGUUGGUGUGGUAACGGCGCACCAAGGCGACGAUCAGUAGGGGAACGGAGAGGUUGGUCCCCCACACUGGCACUGAGAUACGUGCCAGACUCCUACGGGAGGCAGCAGUAGGGAAUAUUGGUCAAUGGUGGGCAAACUGAACCAGCCAUUCCGCGUGCAGGAAGAAGGGUCUCUGACUUGUAAACUGCUUUAGCAAGGGAAGAAAAAGCUCAUGCGUGAGAAAUUGACGGUACCUUGAGAAUAAGCACCGGCUAACUACGUGCCAGCAGCCGCGGUAAGAC